GCAAAGAUUGAAGACUGGCACUGAGUUGUGUCCUCACACAGAGGGAAGGAGCAGACAGAGAAUUAGCAACAGAGAAACAGGCUCAAGGAGUAAAUCUGUCUGUUUAGAAGGCACGACGAGAGCAGGGCCAAAUCGUUAGUGGCUACGUUGAUGGAUAGUUAGUUACGCACUUCACACGGACGAGCGGCUCGAUUGACGAGCGAGACGGACGGCUCCACCGUCGCAGACCGGAGGGAAAGAGGCGGACACGAAGACGCAGCAGAGGUGGAGGUGCAAGCCCGUUAGCCUGCAGCAUGACAAGCAGUGUUGUGUAAGAGAGCCGGGGACCGUGUCGCACACAACCAGAGCUCUCCUGCGAAUGUGAUUGGAGAAACGCGCACAGAGAAAGACAAAGGAGACGGUGUCUUUAACGACUUAGCUGCAGGACGACGAGGGGAUUUGGAGACAUAUGUGGAAGAUACUGCAAUGAGCUGAAGGAACCCACAAAGUGACAGGACAAUGAUGUCAGGGGGUGAGCUGAGCAGUUUAGAGAAGGUCAGACAUACCCUAGAGUGGCUUCCGGCACCUGGCCUCAUCUUCACACCUGCACGUCAUCUGCACAGCUGUCUUCAAUCAAAUCAUCAAUUUCUUCCCGUUUAAACACCCCGGCGUCCCUCUCACCAGUCGCCAGAUGAUUUCACCGUUUCCACUGGAUUCCCGUGCCCGCACGCCUGCUCAGCCGCCCCGUCAUCGUUCAGUCUGCAUUCCCCUCCUGUUGUACCAUCUCAUCAGUGUAAAUUAACCCAUUACCUUCACCCAACCCUGUUGUCUGCGCUCGGGUCCGGCCGAAACCGAACCCUCGCAGAUAGUUUGUAUUAAAUGUUAGAAAAUAGCAUGCAAUGAAUGUUGUCAUCAUUUCAACAGCCAUAAAUACACAGCCUGUAA